GGCACUUUGGCCGAGUGGUCUAAGGCGCCGUGUUCAGGUACAGCUCCAAGCAAUUGAAGCAUCCUAUUCGCGGUCUAGAAAUAGGCGAGGGUUCGAAUCCCUCAGGUGUCA
rfam:Trichoderma atroviride IMI 206040 TRIATcontig_29, whole genome shotgun sequence.